GCCCGUGACUAUAUUGAGAGAGAUCUCGUGGUUGAGAGCAUGAUACCAUUGUCUAUGUGUACGAUUAGACCUUGCCAAUGUUUUUCUAAAUGCAAAAUAGUUAACAGUUGGUCACCCUUCAUUUAGCAUUCUAGCCAUUUACAUGGAGUCAAACGGUCCAAAUGGUUUUGUAUUAUUUUCUAUAUAUAUGUAAAAAAUCAUGUGUUCUAGCAAAUAUACAUGUUUUGUGCGUAUAAAUAAAUAGGUAUUCUAAUUUAUAGCACACUAGCAAGUCUUCAAAUUUAUACAACACUAGUGAAAGCGCAGUUACAAAUAUGAAGACUGAAUUGGUUUGAGAUAUAGCAUGAAGUGGGAAGCUAGUCACUCACCUAGCUUUCAAGGCUUAGCAACAUUCUUCCUGUUGUGUUGCAGAGCAUAUAUAUAUAUUUGAUUCUCAAAUAAUUAGCUGAAUAAAUAGAUGAAAUAUUUAUUAAACUAACUUGAAGACAUAGGCACAAUCUGAGCUACAAAACCCUUCUCCAUCUACUCCAUGAUGUUUGAAAAGUUAGUUUCUUUAUUCUAGUGAACUUUUCUCCAUUUAUAGGUAUAAAAUAAUAGUCUACUAAUCAUGUAUGUGCUAAUUUAUGGGAGCAGAGGUCAAUAAAACUUACCAAUUUGAAUGUGCUCAUCUACAAUAUAGUUGUACUUUUCUUGUACGUAAUUUAUUUAGUGUCAAUGUUACAAUAGACUUCAUACUUUGCUGGAG
rnacentral:lncRNA from 1 species